UCCCUCCUUCAAGUGAUACACGCAAUUUGGUCAUUUAUUACACGUUGAAUGGCUACUACUGCAGCCGAUUGGAGCGAUCCUGCUCGUUACGCCUAUGCCUCGCUGUUGGCCUUGAGUUUGAAUGAACGUCACAGCCACGAGUCGUGUGAUCCUGAAUUUCGCCAGCAAUCCCUGCGUCGUCUGCUCGAGCACGUCAAACUCAUGCGGUGCGAGCCGAUGAUGCAAUUGCUGAUGGAAUCCGAGUCGGGCCACACCAGAGAUCCGUACGUUCAAAUGUUAUUGGAGGAGCCGGAAUUUCACGGUGACGGAACCCGAGUCGUUUACGACGCAUUACAAUGGGCUCUAAUGCUCGGCAAUUAUGACGCUCGUAUUCGAGUUAUCCUUCACGAAUGGGCCACCCAACUGUUUGGAUUGAGCGUGGAACACUUUGAAAUGCUGGAAGACGCCAUCGUCCAUCGAGUGGAACGAGGACUCCGUACCAAAACUUUGCAGGAAGAAGAACGAGAGAAGAAGGAAAUGAAAAUGAAAAAAGCCAAGAAAUUCGCAUGGAUUGGAGCCGCUUCCGUCGGCGGAGGCGUUCUGGUCGGUCUGACUGGCGGAUUAGUGGCACCACUGGUCGCCGGAAGUUUAGCGGCUCUCCUGGGUGUGGGCGGUGGAGCUGCAGCGGCUGGAAGUGUGGCGGGAGCGGCCGUGAUUGGUUCGCUGUUUGGUGCGGCCGGCGCCGGCGUGUCGGGCUACAAGAUGAACAAACGAGUGGGCGACGUUGAAGAGUUUUUCUUUGUUCGUCUGUCACCUGGCGAAGGCUCACGACUGCACGUCACCAUUUGCUGUCCCGGUUGGCUUCCGCCGCCCGAUCAAAAUCAAUUGGCAGAAGAAUUUGAAGACGAAAAUAGCGACGACGACGACGAUGAAAUAGAAGAAUCCAUUGAACGACGUCUGAUGCAAUCGUUUGACGGAUUGAUUCAUUCCCGGGAGCAGUACGGACUCCAAUACGAGACGAAAUAUCUGGCCGAAAUGGGACGUGCCAUCGAUGCCGUUUGCAGAUUGGCCAUUUCAAUGGCGGCCACCGAAGUCCUUAAAAUGACCAUUUUUCACGGUUUAGUCACGGCUGUUGCUCUUCCACGAACCAUCCUUAGUUUGACAUCCGUCAUUGAUAAUCCAUGGAACGUCUGCUGUAACCGGAGCGCCCAGGUCGGGCAAAUGCUGGCCGAGACGUUGAUGGAUGGCACAUUCGGACGUCGGCCCGUCACUCUACUUGGAUUCAGCCUAGGAGCCCGGGUCGUCUAUUUCUGCCUCAAGGAGCUGCACAGGAGAGGUGGACGAGGGAUCGUUCAGGACGCUGUUCUGAUCGGCACUCCCGUCACUGGUAAUCCUAGUGAAUGGCGGCCGUUACUGGACGUCGUUGCCGGACAACUGGUCAACGCCUUUUCCCGCAACGACUGGGUCUUGAAAAUUGUUUGCCGGACAGCGUCGGCGGCUUAUGACGUGGCGGGACUGGAGGGCGUCGAUAUCCAACACGAUCAACUCGUCAACGUCGACCUUUCUCAUCUAAUCAGCGGUAGGUCACGGCGACUACAGGACCAAAGCUGACCAAUGCCUCAAGGCUAUCGCAUUGCUCCGCGUCAUCCCGAUAACAACAACAACCACGUCGCAACAACAGCAACAACAAUCGCAAAGUCAACAGGACGACCGGCCCAUUCCGGAUGGAGGAGAGAAGGAGGAGGUGGGCGGAUGUCGAGAUGCCAAUUCCACCUGAUUAGAUUGUAAUCUAUUAUCAUCCGCAUUCCGCAAUCACGACUCAUUAAUGACGAAUAACCGCCUCCAUUCCAUUAGAGUCUGAGAGACCAAUACAAUUUCUCUUGUGCGCAGA
rnacentral:misc_RNA from 1 species